AGUAGUUUGAUCCGUGGCUCAGGACGAACGCUGGCGGCGUGCUUAACACAUGCAAGUCGAACGAGGUUAUGUCGAGGAAGGCUUCGGCCGGAAUUGAUAUAACCGAGUGGCGGACGGGUGAGUAACGCGUGAGCAACCUGUCUUACACAGGGGGAUAACACUCCGAAAGGAGCGCUAAUACCGCAUAAGACCACGAUGCCACAUGGCAAUGAGGUAAAAGGAGCAAUCCGGUGUAAGGUGGGCUCGCGUCCCAUUAGAUAGUUGGUGAGGUAACGGCUCACCAAGUCGACGAUGGGUAGCCGACCUGAGAGGGUGAUCGGCCACAUUGGAACUGAGAUACGGUCCAGACUCC
rnacentral:rRNA from 1 species